UCCCCAUCAACUAGCCCCCUACCCAAUAUCAACAAACCCUAUUAAUACCCCCAAACAAACCAACAAUUUUCAAACAAAUCAUUUUACCCCCUCAGUAUCUGAGACAGAAAAG
rnacentral:rRNA from 1 species